CGGUAAAACUCGUGCCAGCCACCGCGGUUAUACGAGAGGUUCAAGUUGAUGUCUGUCGGCGUAAAGAGUGAUUAUAGGAGUAUGUACAACUAAAGCCGAAGGCCCCCUGGGCUGUUUUACGCAUCUGGGGGUUAUUAAGCUCUUCAACGAAGGUAGCUUUAAAAUACUUUAUCCUCGAGUUCACGAUAGCUAAGGCACAAACUGGGAUUAGAUACCCCACUAUG
rnacentral:rRNA from 1 species